AUGAUUCCUUUAUAUCUGAGUACUAUGGAGAUGGGCUGUGAACUUACCAGAACAAGGAAGGGGAUGCCCGAGACUGAGAUGAUGGCGGCGGUCGCGAUGCAUAGCUGCAGGAGUGGACAACAAAGACAAAUACUCCCUUGGAUUCGUCGUGAUUCUGGAAUGGGAGGCAGGUCGCUGCUGCUACCGCCCAUGAAGCUGACGAUGAUCAGUGGCCGUCAUGCAGCGGCGAGGUGGCGGUUGUGGAGGGGAGGGGAGACGCGCGGGCAAAAACCAACACGACGAAGGAAGGGGAUGCCUCAGGUGGCGAUGGUCAUGACGGUCACUAUAUUGUGA
rnacentral:rRNA from 1 species